CGGCUCUCCAGGGCUGAGCCAGGAAAGGGCAGGGACGCAGCACCACCGCCUCGAGAGUUUCCCUUGUGGAUGCACGGCCCCGGUGACUCCGCUCCUCCCGGCGCAGAGGGGUCUCAAGAGGCCGGAGGAGCGGACUCAGGACGGGAUUUCCGAGAAAGGAGAGAGGAAGGGUGCUCCACCCGCUCUGGAGUGGUUAGGUAAAAGAUGAAGGGCCGGCGGCGGCGGCGCCGGGAGUACUGCAAGUUCGCGCUGCUGUUGGUGCUAUACACGCUGGUGCUUCUGCUCAUCCCCUCGGUCCUGGACGGCGGCCGCGACGGGGACAAGGGCGCCCGGCACUGCCCGGGCCUGCAGCGCAGCCUGGGAGUGUGGAGCCUGGAGGCGGCGGCGGCGGGCGAGCGCGAGCAGGGCGCGGAGGCGCGGCCAGCCGCAGAGGGGGGCGCUGGCGGGUCCCCCAGGUCCCCGGGCAACCUCAACAGCGCCGUCGGGGAGGCUGCGUCUCACGAAAAGCAGCACAUCUACGUGCACGCUACCUGGCGCACAGGCUCAUCGUUCCUGGGAGAGCUCUUUAACCAGCACCCGGACGUUUUCUACUUGUACGAACCCAUGUGGCAUCUGUGGCAGGCGCUGUAUCCGGGCGACGCCGAGAGCCUGCAGGGCGCACUCCGCGACAUGCUGCGCUCGCUCUUCCGCUGCGACUUCUCAGUCCUGCAACUGUACGCGCCGCCCGGUGACCCUGCCGCGCGGCCCCCGGACGCGGCCAAUCUCACCACGGCCUCCCUCUUUCGCUGGCGGACCAACAAGGUCAUCUGCUCGCCGCCGCUGUGCCCUGGCGGACCCCGGGCCCGCGCCGAGGUCGGACUCGUCGAGGACGCUGCCUGCGAGCGCAGCUGCCCACCCGUGGCACUCCGAGCCCUGGAGGCCGAGUGCCACAAGUAUCCGGUUGUGGUCAUCAAGGACGUGCGCCUCCUCGACCUGGGCGUGCUGGUGCCCCUUCUGCGCGACCCAGGCCUCAACCUGAAGGUGGUGCAGCUUUUCCGCGACCCGCGGGCUGUCCACAACUCGCGUCUCAAGUCCCGGCAGGGGCUGCUGCGCGAGAGCAUCCAGGUGCUGCGCACCCGCCAGAGGGGCGACCGCUUCCACCGCGUGCUGCUGGCGCACGGUGUGGGCGCUCGCCCCGGGGGAGCAUCCCGCGCGCUGCCCGCCGCGCCGCGUGCCGACUUUUUCCUGACCGGCGCACUCGAGGUGAUCUGCGAAGCCUGGAUGCGCGAUUUGCUGUUCGCGCGCGGCGCUCCCACCUGGCUGCGGCGCCGCUACCUAAGGCUGCGCUACGAGGACCUGGUGCGGCAGCCGCGCGCCCAGCUGCGACGCCUGCAACGCUUCGCUGGGCUCCGCGCGCUCGCAGCCCUCGACGCCUUCGCGCUCAACAUGACGCGCGGCGCGGCCUAUGGCGCCGACCGGCCCUUCCACCUGUCAGCGCGCGAUGCCCGCGAGGCCGUGCAUGCCUGGCGCGAGCGCCUGAGCCGAGAGCAGGUGCGCCAGGUGGAGGCCGCCUGCGCCCCAGCCAUGCGCCUGCUGGCUUACCCUCGUAGUGGGGAAGACGGCGAUGUCGAGCCGCCUGAGGACGAGGAGACAGAGCCGGAGACCGAGGCGGACAGCGCCACGUAGCCCGCCACCCGCGCCCCCGGGACGGAUCCGGGUCAGUCACCAUAAACCGGGACACUCAGCAUGUGGUCCCAGCGUUAGAAGAAGCCACGCUGUGGGGGCAAUCUAUCACACUGUCAGAGACUGGGGCUUGACUUGGUACCAACUGCUGUGCAGUUGGAACAGGAAUAUCAUGAGCUGUUAAAUAAUGACUGACACAUUGGUUGAAAUGAAGUUUCCAGUAAGGAAGUGACAGUGCAAUGCAGAUAAUUAUGGCAAUAAAAUAGGAAGAGCUUUAGUUCCCAGCCUGACCCUGCCUCUGUUGGAGUCAAUUCAACAAGGCAUUCUCAGAACAAAGAAAAGACGUGAUUUGGUACCAUUUCCCAUCAGCAGGUGCCUGGACAAAACAUCAAUGUGAAGACGGACCAAGUGCAGUCCUGUGUAUCUUGAUUAAAUUACUUAAUAUUAAAUAAAAGAUCUGGGUGGUGUAUUUUAAAAUCUGACUCAUCCAGCUCUUCUUCAAAUAGCUCCCCUGGCCCCCACCCCUAAAUGGAUUUUUUAAAAGUAAUUUCCUGGGGUGGGAGAACCCUAAUGAACUGAAGGAAAUGUUUGCUUUUAAAUUGUUCUAUCUGAUGUUUUUGUAAUUAUACUAUUAAAUGAUUCUGGAGUCACUCUGUUAAUGACAAGAUUUGUUUUUGCUUUAUUUUUCUAGGGAGCAGAUUUUAUGAUGUAGUUCAAUUGCACGAUUUAAGGAGCAGUUAGUCUACAUAUAGAGGAAUACAAGGACUAUGAGAGAAACUGUAGGAAGCUCAAGAAUCUUAGCAAUUCGCCAACACUCAAAGCCUGUUAAAGAUGUUUGCAGGCUGGGAGAAGUCACAGGUUUCAAGUGUUUAUUUCAACUCAAAGGCACAUUUUUAAAGUCUAAAAGUGUUGCUGUGAUUUUUUUAGAUCCACUCUUUAAAAUUUUUUUCAAGCAUCUAAAUUAGUGGUCAGGAAAAGCCUUUUCUGAGAAGACUCUGAUAGUAAAUAGCUCAGGCUUAUGAGCGCUAGUUGUUCAGUGCCCUUACAACUCAGCUCUGCGUAAAAGCAGUCAGUCACAGACAAAAUGAGUGAGUAGAGUGUAUGCCAAUAAAACUUUAUUUACAAAAACAACCAGUAGACUGGAUUUGAUCUAGGGGCCACUGUAAUUUGUCCAUCUCUGUUUUAAAUGAAGUUGGAGAGGAAUAGCUUCCACCCAGAACAGAACCUCUCUGUGUGGGAAAGAAACAAACUAAGAACAGGCCCAUACUGCAUUCUUCUACUAAUGGACAAUACUUUUAAAAGUAUGAAACAAGAUAAGCUCAGCCAGUUAAUCUUUUUAUUUUGAUUUUUGUUUAAAAAAAAAGGAAAGAAAAGAAAAAGGCUUUGAGAAAAAUGUGUUAAAUAUCAGUAAAGGGCAGGAAAACAUGUAGCUAGCUUUACAAUAUCAGUCUAAACAUAUACACAAAGGCAAACAUUAAGUAAAAUGCUAGGGAGAGGGAACACAUUGGGGGCCUAACUCCAGUUUUCUUUAUUGCACAUAAAGGUUGCUGAUAACUCCAAGUCUUCACGUUUUCACAGUUAGACAUGUUUUAAUAUUAUUUUAUAUAACAUGUUUAUAUAACACACUAUGUUAAUUUUAUAAAACCACCAGUUUGCUACUAUUGAAUGGAAGUAAAAGACAAAAAUUUCCCCAAUUACAGUAUGGAGGCUCUCUAUAAAAAAUUCCCCUGAAGGUCACAACAGCCCCUAUUAAAUUCAUCCUAGUCUAUUUUAAAAACUGCUUUUCAGCUAUUAAAUGAAUCUUGAUGGCCUCCCCAUUUAAUCAUAUUAAUGGACAUAGUAAAACUUCCUAAGUAAGAAAUAUCAGAUGUACUUUAUGUAAAAAAUAAACCUAAGUGACCCUACUAUGAAGUCAUAUUUUUGAAUGAGUGAUUUCAGUGACAGAUUCCAAACCCAUAGACUUAACACCCAUAUGACUGAAAAACCACCCCAUUGCUUCUCCAAAGCUCACAGCUGGAAUACCGUAACUAAAGUCGACCCCCAAAUGUCCAUGCAGUUAAGACACUCACCCACUGACACUGGGAUCUUAACUUGUUUGAAGUGCUUUAGACAGCAGAUAUAGAGUUUUUCAUGAUGUUUCCAAGUCCUUUUCCAUCUGAGUUCCUCCAACACAUACAGGCCCACCCAGAUAAUUUUCCACUGGCCAAAAGUCGAGCUGACCAUGACACUUGGUAGUUCUGUGAAGCUUUUCGAAAAGGUGGCCAUCAGGGUAAGAAAGUGACCUCUCCUAAGUGCUCUUAUGUCUGUUGCAGACCUUUUCAAAGGGCAGCAGAACAGGAAGCCCUCCUUGUCAUUUUCUCCAAGGCUCAUGUAGCAGAAAACUGGCUGCCUGUGUGUGCCAUGUGGGCCGUGGUUAGAGUAUACCCUGCUUACAAAAAUAAAACAUCAAAAACUUUGGUUUUACUCUUUACAACUUCUGCUAGCACUGGCUGACAAAUGGGUUUGUUAAUUUACAGAAACUCUGCUUAUGAAACUCAGAACUGGAAGAAAAAUGGUUUAUUUCUAGGUUUUGUUUUGAAAGGAUUGUCAAAGAGCCUACUUGCUUUUCCUCAUUAGAUACUAGCAUUGCUUUCCAGAAUACUUCUCUGUAGAUUGUUUUUAUUAGGUUUUAGAAAGAGGGGAGGUCUUUUCAGGUAUCCACAUGGUGAAAGCAGCAUUCAGGUGGGUUGUUUCUAAACUGUAAGUCUUGGUCACAAAAUGCCCUCAAUUUACUGUACCUGUAUCAGAAUGCAGCAAUUGACACUGGUGAUUCAGAUUGUCAGUUAAAAACACAGAAGGGAUCAGAAUUCAAUGACAAUAUUUGACAGACUAGCUCCUUCACUAACUCAUCUACAGAAGCAACAUCAAAAAGCAAGCAUGAAGCCUGUCAAGUGCCCCAUUUCUGAAGCGGAAAAAGAAGUCAUAUAGUUACUGAAUCAGCAAGCUGAAUUUCCUGAUGCCCUCAGUCCAGGUUCCAUUUUAUAGCAGAUGGGAACAUAAGCUUUAUGAUCCACCUCUUAGAGCUCACAAUGGGUACCAAGGUAGAUUUCCAAGAGGAUGACUUCACCCCCAAUGAGUUGCUUGUUUGCCCUGCCAGCAAUUUCACCUAAGUGCAUCAGCAGUGUUUCUACAUUUAGAAAUCAUUUUGUUCACAUUAGAUAGCUGACAUGAAAACAUUAACUUCCGCUGCGGACAAAGAAAGGGGGAGCUAUGAUGGGGCUUGGGCAUGUGUGCGUGAAACAGACUUCUGUUUUUGAAACAAACAUUACUUGUUUGCCCUAGGCUGAAAUGUUCAUGGAUAGCUGAGAGAACAUUUUUUCAGGUUUUCUACAGAGAUAUUUGUUGAUUGAACCAUGGAGGACAUUUUCAGGUCUAGAGAACACAGCCUAAAGAGCUCCUUGCUGUUUACUUGAUGAAACAUUUGAUGUCACGGUGUGAUUUUUGGCUGCAGGACAUCAAUGGUUGUUUGUCUGGUCACUCCAACAAGUACCCUGAUGGCCAGAGUCCAUUUAAUCACAUAUGCCCUUCCUAUGCCUGUUUCCUAGGAAGAAAUACAGCCUUCUUUAAAUUCCAAAUUUCCUUCUUUAGUUCAAUUCUCCUUGUAGUCCUCAAAAAGCGUAUGAGAAGGAAUUGCAGGUGGUUUUGUCUUUCCUCUGUUGGUGCUAUACAAAAGUUUGCAUCUCCUUAAUUAACCUUCUACUGACACCAUUGCCACAUGAGACAGCAGAUUGAUCACAACUUUCCAAGUAAUAUGGUUACUCUGCUCUGGCAAUGAAUGGGCCCAUUCUUAUUUCGAGGAGUCCAGCAUGGAUGCAGGCAUGAGUACAAGCAAAAUGUGAAGAGAAAGAUCACUUGACUGUGAAAGGGACUAUUAAUAUAAUAUCAGGUUAAACUGCAAAGAUAGCAUCUCAGAAACUGUUACAUUUGACUAGUCAGCAGUCCAGUUAAAACAAAACCCCCUUUCUCCCCCAACAAAUGGGAGCAAAGAUGACAAUUUUUAAUCCCCCCCAUACAUACACUCUAGUCACCCAUCUCUCCCUCUCAUGCUCUAAGAUUUUCAAAAGUGGCCUUUUCAGUUGUACUUUACAAAGUAUGUUCUUGACUUCUGCAAAGAUUAUUAGCAUGAAACUCUCACAACUACCCUCUCUGUAUUGCUGAUCAACCUGUUUGUUCCACAUGACUAACAAUUUAAAAUGUUCUUUCCUAGACCAUUUCUUUAAGGUUCCAAAUAGGGUCCACUGCAAGUUCUAGACUAGAGGCUCUCAACCCUAGCUGCACAAUAGAAUUCUUGAGGAUCCACAACAAAACAUGGCAGCCAGGCAUCAACCUACUGAAUCUGAAUCUGAGGGUAGGGCCCUGGCUUCAGUAUUUGUAAAAACUGGCCAAGUAAUCUUAAUGUGCAGCCAGGUAUGAGAACCUGUGCUCUAGAGCUUUUGACUACUGAAAUGCCACCCCCCAACCCAGAACAAACAUGUUUCUAAGAUGACUUGGGAUCACUCUCUCGGGGGAACUUUCUUUAGAUGGCUGCACCAUUACUUAGCAGUUUCGAUCUGAUUUCUGCCAGACUGGAAGCAAAUACUCGGCCUUGAGUGAAGAGGUUUCAGCCUUUGUGGCACAUUACUUUUUUGUCACUCAGCAUAGGCAGGAUACUUCUGAGAGGUGGAAGUUUUCUAAUAAGUGAACUCACUUCCCAGGACCCCUGGUAAAGUCAGGAUUAAUCUCCACAUCUUGCAAACAAAAAUUAGGACCACAGGUCAGUGACUUAAUGAUUCACUGAAUGAAAAAUCUAACCAAAUAACUACAAAUCUAGCUAACUUUUGGGCUCAGCAGAUCUCCAUUUACUUAUAUUUAACCAGGUUAGAAUAAAAUGUUUGCAGUGGAGAAUACAAAGCCCAUGGUAGACCAUAAAAUCAAAAUGGACUUUAGAUACAAAGGAAAGAAGGGAAUAAAAAUGAUUCAUUUAUAUUAUGUUGAAUCAUACGAAACUGCCAUUUCUGUUUUCUUAAAUGGUUGAAAAUCAGCAAUUUCAUAUGACUCAGCCUCAUAAUAAAUUUUUCCUGGUUUGCACAAUUUAUCAAUUCAAAAACAAAAGUGUCAAGCAAUGUCUUAUUUAAAAAAUAUGUCAGCUAAAAAGAUUAAAUUAUUGAUUUCAUUAUGAGUGUCCUAGACUGAACUGGACCAAUAUUUUGUCUGCCAUAAUAAGAAAAAUGCCCACAUUUUAUGAAAGCAUUUUUUUUUUUUAGAAAUUGGGUUUUCAAAUAGGCUAUCACUGAAGCAUAGGAAGACUUGCUAGCCUAGUUUCUAAGAGUUCUCUCAGUAUUUCACUGCUACAGGUGUGGACAGGUGAAAUAGCUCAUCCAUAAAGAACCCAAACUUUUGACAAAAACCUAAAUUUUAAACCACACUUGCACAUUAAGUUGGUACAAGGUUCCCCAGAUACCAUGAAAAUGGCCCUUCUCUACAUGGCAUUCAAUGUCAAGACAUCCAGACUCUCAAGCUGUCUACUAUAGUCGACAGAACCUUCCAACCUUCCACCAGGUUGAAUAAUGCUUAACUUUCCAUUGACUCAUCUCUGAUUCCUCAUGUGGCCACUGAAAUCUCAUGCAUUUAUGAACACAAAAUUUGGAAUUCUACUCAGUCAUUAGAAUACUAUCUUGUAUUUUCUUUGCAGUUAAUUUUGUUUGCAGUGAGAUUUCUUCCCUCUGAAUACUAGCCUGUUGCCUCUUAGGCUUCUUGCUGCUUUCUCUUUCAUAGAUAAGACUGCAUCCCACAAAUUGUGGUGUUAUUUCUAAAGCCACAGUAGAACCCAAUCCUAUUCAUUAUUUCCCAGGCAGUCAGCUCAUAUGGAAUACCUUGAGAACUUACAGAUUUUUGCAGUGAUAUCACCAUCAGUUUCUAAACAGUUUCUCCUGUCCUCAGAUUAGUUAAAAACAACAGUAUAACACUAUUUUGCCUUUGGUUUCAAACAUUCCAGUAACUUCUUCCUUAUGGAGAUUUCCAGAGAAGGAAUUGGAAUUCAUUCCUCCAUGUUGAAAUGUUCAUGGACAUAUUUUCCAGUCUUCAGUCUAGAAGAAACACAGUGAGUCAAAAAGGGGCAGGAAUCCUGAUAGGAGGGUGCAGUCACACAACCUCAUUGCUGGAGCCUCCAGUCAAAUUGCUUUCUCAUGUUUUCUGUCCAUUUAACACCGGUUUCUCACAGUCCUUGGAGGUCUAAUAGCAACUGCCAUCCUUCACAGUCUUAGCCUGUUCUCCCCUUGUAUGCUAUAGCCAAUGAAACCUACACCGCUGUGUCUGGAUACGAAGCCUCUCCUGGGAGGAACCCCUACCACCUGCCACACCUUUUUCAGAUCUGCAGGUGAAUGAAUGAAGACAGCGUUAAAGCAUGCUAUUUGUUUAACUCUGAACAGCGCACUACGUGAAAAAAGUGGGAAUAGGUCUGCAUUUGCCUUGAUUUAGAGACACUUUCACCCCACCAGCUGCAUCUUGGCUGAAAUUUUAAAUAAGAUAUCUUCAGACCCCAAUAAAACAGAAGUGUUAGUUCCAUUCAGUCAAGGCCCCAUGUCAACAAUGCUGGGGCUUGCAGCCAUCCUCACCCCGCCAGUGGGUCCUCCCCAACCCCAUCACUCAGGGCUCUGGGCGGGAAGGCGCACAUUAUCCUCCAGGGGGAACACCAGGCGGGUGCCCCGGCUGGAAACCUUUUGGUCUCCCAUUCCUAGGUCUCGUUCCAGCACCUCCUCAGAGCUGCUUUUCAUUCUCCGACCACCCUCGAGGCUCAUGGAGGCUGUGUGGGAACCUGAGGAGCCAUUCGCAGUCACUGUGCUAUCCCCGAAGGUCAAGGUGAGGUCACCCUCGGUCAGGAUGAAAUCAGAAUCUUCCUCUCUCAGCGGCUCUUGGUUCUGAAAAGUGCAGCAAACAACAGCAACAUCAUCAACCACAUCAACCACAAAUGGGAGACCAGUAUCUUCCCAGGCCAAAGCCAGCCCCAACUCCUUAUCUGAAAAUGGGGAUCAUGCCUGCCUUGAGCCCCUAGUGUGAUAACUGGGAGUAAACUCUAGAGUGCUAGUCCAUGUAAGACUACUGCUGAACCAGGACUUUGAAGACCAGUGAGCAGUUCUGAUUUUAAAUGCCUGAUAGCAUAGGGACAAAAAGUAACAAAAGGGAAGAAAGGGUGAUUAGCCUGGAUUUUCAGCCUCUCUUGUGGCUCAGUGGUGAAGAAUUCUCCUGCAAUGCAGGAAAUGCAAGUUUGAUCCCUGGGUUGGGAAAAUCCCCUGGAGAAGGGAAUGACAACUCACUCCAGUAUUCUUAACUGGAGAAUCACAUGGACAGAGGAGCCUGGCAGGCUACAGUCCAUGGGGUCGUAAAAGAGUCUGACAUGACUGAGCGACCAACACUUUCACUUUCAACCCAACAAGAAACGAAUGGGUAAGGUCCUCGGGUGAACCUGCAAAUUAGAUUUUGGAUCUUCUCUUUUCUGGGAAAGUAUUCUGGGAGGUGGGGUAGGCUCCUGCUCUACACAAACCAUCCUAAACCCAUCUGGUUUACAUUUAAAUUGCUCUUUGUCUUACUAAGCAAUUGAGGAAGAGGAUAAGCCAUAAUUAGGAUUUCCUUCCCAUCCCCACAGAAAUAUCCUAAUGGGAAGGAAGCCCUUAGGUAGAUGAAGUGAGGGACUGAGAGGGAGGGGACAUUUUCUUGAGCAUCUAUUGUCCGCCUGUCACAAAUGUCACAAAAGCUCUCAUUUGAUCCCUGCCCCUUCCCUGUGAAGGGCGCACACACUCAGGUCACAGAGAAGAAAACUGGAGAGACCCCACGGGAUCUGCCCAAGGUCGUCCGGCUGCUUGGAAACAGAGUUAGGAUUUAUGCUGCCAGUAGAUGGGUUCUCCCCACAAAAAGGAUGUGAAAUAUUACCCCGUUGGGGAACAGGACUGGCAGGCAUCUCAUGCUAAGCAGUGGUGGUAACAGAACAGACAAAGCUGAGUAAAGCAGGCUAAAUUAGCCAAGUGGCAGCCACUUGAAACUAUAAGACUACAGGGAGAGCAUCGGGAAGCUGCGUGGGGUCAGACACAACCUUUCACCCUCUGGAUGGUUUUACAAGCAAAGUGAGGGGUGGUGCACUCCCUGCACUGCCGCCCACCUCCCACCCCCCCCUGCAAGGCCAUCAAAUACUGGGAACAUCUUCCUUAAAUGGCAAACACAUGGUUCCAAGCUGCUCCAGGUAAAUGGUUCUUUCUUUCCUAUUUCCAACCUACCUUCAAAGCACAUCGGAAAUCCUUUGGCCUCUACCUGAGAGGGUCUCCUUGGUGCAGGAUGCCGAAUCUGCCUCCCUGACAGCCACGUGGUCCCCACUCAGCCAGAGGUUCAGUCACACUCCUGUGUUCAGGCCUGGGAUCCUCAUCUAUGAGAGAAGAGGAGUCCUCAAGUGGAAGUGGCCUUCAGGAUUCACAGAGGCCCUGGCUCCCCCCUGAAAAAGGCCCCCCACCAUAAACAAGGGCAGCACUUUCACUAUGUCUCACAGGAUGCCAUGCUAAGAAUACAAAUCACAGCGACAUGCAAGGUCUUUCUUAAGAAUAAAAACACUGAUCUGCCAGAUCUUUA